rnacentral:rRNA from 1 species
GCCAAAUGCCUCGUCAUCUUUAGUGACGCGCAUGAAUGGAUUAACGAGAUUCCUACUGUCCCUAUUUACUAUCUAGCGAAACCACAGCCAAGGGAACGGGCUUGGCAAAAUAAGCGGGGAAAGAAGACCCUGUUGAGCUUGACUCUAGUUUGACAUUGUGAAAAGACAUAGAGGGUGUAGAAUAAGUGGGAGCUUCGGCGCCGGUGAAAUACCACUACCCUUAUCGUUUUUUUACUUAAUCAAUGAAGCGGAACUGGUCUUCAUCGACCAUUUUCUUGCAUUAAAGUCCUUCGCGGGCUGAUCCGGGUUGAUGACAUUGUCAGGUGGGGAGUUUGGCU